rnacentral:rRNA from 1 species
UACGGAGGGAGCUAGCGUUGUUCGGAAUUACUGGGCGUAAAGGGCGCGUAGGCGGCCUUCUAAGUCAGACGUGAAAUCCCCCGGCUUAACCUGGGAACUGCGUCUGAUACUGGGAGGCUUGAGUAUGGGAGAGGGAUGUAGAAUUCCAGGUGUAGCGAUGAAAUGCGUAGAUAUCUGGAGGAAUACCGGUGGCGAAGGCGGCAUCCUGGACCAUAACUGACGCUGAGGCGCGAAAGCUAGGGGAGCAAACGGG